rnacentral:rRNA from 1 species
CCUACGGGGGGCAGCAGUGGGGAAUAUUGGGCAAUGGGCGCAAGCCUGACCCAGCAACGCCGCGUGAGGGAAGAAGGCUUUCGGGUUGUAAACCUCUUUUGACAGGGAAGAGUAGAAGACGGUACCUGCCGAAUAAGCCACGGCUAACUACGUGCCAGCAGCCGCGGUAUUACGUAGGUGGGAAGCGUUGUCCGGAUUUACUGGGUGUAAAGGGAGUGUAGCCGGGUAUACAAGUCAGAUGUGAAAUCCCGCGGCUUAACCGCAGAACUGCAUUUGAAACUGUUGAUCUUGAGUGCUGGAGAGGCAGGCGGAAUUCCUGGUGUAGCGGUGAAAUGCGUAGAUAUUAGGAGGAACACCAGUGGCGAAGGCGGUCUGCUGGACAGCAACUGACGGUGAGGCGCGAAAGCGUGGGGAGCAAACAGGAUUAGAUACCCGAGUAGUC